GGUGCUUCGGAUUUGAUAAUGGUUCAAGUUCCUUGGAAUUGGACAUCAGAGAGGGUGAUAAUCCCGUUUCGACCAAUUAUCUGUCCAUGUGAAGCCCUUUCGACGAGUCGAGUUGUUUGGGAAUGCAGCUCAAAAUGGGUGGUAAAUUUCAUCUAAAGCUAAAUAUCAGCCAGAGACCGAUAGCGCACAAGUAGAGUGAUCGAAAGAUGAAAAGCACUUUGAAAAGAGAGUCAAAAAGCACGUGAAAUUGUUGAAAGGGAAGCGCUUGCAACCAGACUUGCUCGUGGUGUUCAGCCUCCUGAAAAGGCGGUGCACUCUCUGCGGGCGGGCCAACAUCGGUUUUAGCGGUCGGACAAAAGCUCGAGGAAAGUAGCUCUCUUCGGAGAGUGUUAUAGCCUCUUGCAUAAUGCGGCCAGUUGAGACCGAGGAUAUAUGCGCUUAUGCUAGGAUGUUGGCGUAAUGGUUGUUAGCGACCCGUCUUGAAACACGGACCAAGGAGUCGAGAAAUCAUGCGAGCGUUAGGGUGUUAAACCCUUCCGCGUAAUGAAAGUGAACGUAGGUGGGAGCCUUUUUGGCGCACCAUCGACCGAUCUGAGUUCGCGAGGAUUUGAGUAAGAGUGUGAUUUCGCGGACCCGAAAGGUCAGUAUAAUAAUCCCCCCAUAUACAAAUCCACUGGAAAGAAUUUGAUUGCUAACUUUUUCUACAGAAGGUGAACUAUUGCUGACUAGGGCGAAGCCAGAGGAAACUCUGGUGGAGGCUCGCAGCGGUUCUGACGUGCAAAUCGAAUCGUCAAAGCUGGCAAUAGGGGCGAAAGACUAAUCGAACCUUCUA
rnacentral:rRNA from 1 species